CAAGAUGAGACAUCCCCGAGGCCUCGAGCCUCCUGAAGGGCCCAGCGAGACCAGCUGGUUGAUAGGCCGGGUGUGGAAGCGCUGCAAGGCGUUGAGCUAACCGGUACUAAUGGCCCGUGAGGCUUGACCAUA
rnacentral:rRNA from 1 species